CUGCUAUUCAGCAAUAAAUACAAAAAACAUGUUUUUGAUACAUAUAUCAAUGUGGCUGAAUGUUGAAAUAAGUAUGUUGAAUAAAAAAGCCAGAUAAAAUGAUCACAUACUGUAUAAUUAGCUUUAUCACAAUUCUAGAAAAUACAUAAUAUUGACAAAGUAAUCGGUGGUUCCCUGCAUAUGUAAUUGGAGGAAGGGAUGUUUUAUAAUAGUGAUAGUGGCAGGAGGCAGACAAAUUCCUAGGCAGAUCAGGGUGGGUCCCUGGUGAAAUCCAACUUUCAAGCCAAAGCCUGAAAAGCCUGAAAACCGGGCUGCCAGUUCCAGGUAGAAUCCACAACCGGAAGUGAGAACUUCCUGAUGCCUUUCAGCCAAUCAAAUGGUUCUUCUUUCAGAGCCCACCCAUGGACCAAUCAGCAUGCACGUCCUUCAUUCUGAGCAUAUAAAAACCCCUGGACUCGGCCACAGCUGUCGACUACCAGGCUGCGUUAGGAGCUACCGUCUUCAGCUUUUUCUCGCUGCUGAGAGCUGUUUUGUUACUCAGUAAAACUCUUCUCCACCGUGCUCACCCUUCAGUUGACCGUGCAACUUCAUUCUUCCUGGACAUAAACCCGGGACCCACAGAACAGCGGGUGCAAAAAGGGCUGUAACGCUUUCCUGGCCGGAUCGCCAAGCUGCAGGUAAGAUGUGCCUGCUUCACCUACUGGCGUGAAUGUAAACUUUCUGAGACCUUCCCAGCCAUGUGGAACUGUAGUUGGGAGCCAGGGAAGGAGUGACACUAUCCCUAGAUGUAGUGAUAUGUUUUACAGGUCCACAGCUGGAAGGAGCUUUCCUUGAUUCUCAAAUGAGACUUUGGACUUUGGACUUUUGAGUCGGUGCUGAAACAAGCCACGCUCUUCAUGCCUGUGUGUUUCCCGCACCCCUGGGAAGGCGAAGGGAAGGAGCUACAUUGUCAAGUGUGGUCCAGCAAGUAAGCAGGUCCUGAGCACCAAACAUAUCACAGGCACUCACUGCUUGGGCCCACCAGUCAACAGGAGCCUGCUAGAUACAGCCAUGUGCCACUCCAACCUCCCUGAGGGCAUGGCCUAUGCACUAUUUGAUUUUCAGCAUAUCAUCACGAACUCCACGGGCGUCAAGAAGCAAUGGGUGUGGAUGUAGAAGCAGCCCGGAUUGCAACUGUGGUGGUGUAUUCUUGAACUAUAUUGUUCUAUUGGUGGUUUCUAGCUUUCUUGCCUUUCUGACCAUGAUACGAGUAGCUCCCUUGAUGGGUUAGUUCUGAAGGUUCAGAGAGUCUCUCCUCAGGCCUACACAAGCUCACUACUGCUCACUUUAUGUGAUGUGGGCCUACACAAGCUCACUGCUGCUGUCUUUCUAACAUGUCUAUAUGUUCUUCAUUAACUCUAUUAGAUCACUUUCUGCUGAAAGAGAUCAGUGUGCUUUCUGUUUCCUGAACUCAACCUUGGGAAAAAUAAGCAUAAAAUAUGUAUACAACAAGUGAAGAACAUCAAAGCAGCCCUGAGAUGAAUUUUCUAGGUAGACCAUCAACUUCUUUGUCAUCAAAAGCCUCAAUUCAAGAGUGAUUCAAAUUAGUACUUUACUGAAAUUACUGAUCACUAUUUGUCACAUUACUUUAAGGCUGAUUAUGAAUAUUUGAAACUUCAUGUUAAGUGCCUCAAUACCAACAGACUACUGUACUUGUUUAAUUUAAAUUUGAAAGCUAUCAUAAUUUCAAUAAAGGAAACACAGUGUAAACAAUAAGGAGUAAGACAAGCAUAUUCAUAUAAAACAUUUAGUUGCUAUUUUUUACUAUUAAAUUAUAUGACAUAACACACCAGAAGUUGACAGUGAAAAAGUCACUUGGCCUGAAAAUACAUGAGUAUGCCAAGGAAGGAAAUGAUGUGCUAAGUUGCUCUAUUACCAAGGCUUACUGAUUUCUACUCAUUUUAUAUUUUAUCCACUCCCUCUAAUCUUCACCAUGAAAAAAAUAAUAGUAUAUGUUUUUAUAGAAUACAUUUGUAGUUACAGAUUUCGGAAUCAUAUAGAGUAAAAUGUGGAAUAUUUCUAUAAGUCUGGAUAACUCUAAGUCUUGAAAGAAUUCAACUAUGUAAAAAUCAAUGAUUUUAAAACAAACAUUGAAUACACUGAUUGGUAAAAAGCUGUAUAGUUAAAUUUACCUAUCUAAUUUAGGUAGUUGAGUAGCCACAUGUAUAUUUUGCUCUUGUUUACCAUGAAAAUUAGACAUUUCCAUUUUACAUAAAUUGAAAUAUAAGUGCACUUAUGCUAAAGUGUUUUAGAAAGCAAUUUAGAUACUUAAAAGACAACUGUAACAUAUAAAUACUAAAUAAUAUGUUACAAAAACUGUGAGAAUUUAUAAAAUAUUUUGCAUGGCAAUGAGAGAAUUAAAUACUGUUUUAGCAGUUAUAUUUGGUAUUUAUGCUACCUCCAAUUACAAGAAAGAUAGGAGGAAGACAUAAACCUGAAAUAAAAUAAGUGCACAAUAAUCUCUUAUGGUUAAAUAUUUACUGAAAUAAAUUUGUAAUUUCUUAAUACUGUAGUAUUAACUUUGUUCAAAUAGCCCACAAUUUAAAAAGAAUAGCAAGUGUAAACUUUCAUGCCAAUCAGUGGAAAAUUUGGAAUUAAGCUCAUUUUAAAUUCUGAUAUGUUUAUAUACAUGCAUAAUAAUAGAUAUAAAUACAUGUCAUGAUUUCUGCUAUAUCUAGUAAAGUGUCUUAGAUUGUUGCUGUCUUUUUAAUUUAAUUAUCACAUAAUAUCUGAUACUUGUCUAAUCAUCCUUCUGCAUUUUUAGAGGCUAAUAUUAAUAUAAUUGUGAACAGACAAAACAUAUACAUGUAUACUGAUGCACAUUCACACACACAUAUACAGAAACUCCUACAGUCCAAAGCCUUCAAAAGAAGAGCCCAUG
rnacentral:lncRNA from 1 species